CCACGGCAACCUCCCGGAGGCCGGCGCCCUUCUUCCGCGACGCGCGACGCCAGAGCUCGUUGGCCCUCCUCCUCUCUCUCCUCCGCCGCUCCGCCCGUCUUUCUCGCCCACCGCACACGCGUCGAGCAAAACCCUCGCCGAUCGCCCCCCCGCCCCGGACCGGCCGGAGGAGUCCGGCCGCCGAAUCACCUCGCCGGCGCCCUUGCCGCGCCGACAAGGAUCGCCUCGGCUCCGUCAAAUCCAGCCAUGAUUCGGGGCCGAGCUUUGAGAUCCCUUGCUACAGGGUUUGCCUUUUGUGGUAUUGGUUUGGAGGAAGUUAUGUGGCUGCGACAGACAUGUGGUGUUGGAGUGAACUCAGUUUGCGGCAUAUGACUCUGGGUAUUGCAUGGCUGCAGAUUAUUUGAAGAACGAUCCCUUUGAGAGGAAUGUCGAACAGGCAAUAACAACCCUGAAGAAAGGAACACACUUGUUGAAAUAUGGGCGGCGGGGAAAACCAAAAUUCUGCCCAUUCAGACUUUCCAAUGAUGAGGCUAUGCUCAUCUGGCACUCCGGGCGAAUGGAGAAGAAGCUAAACCUUAUUCAAGUAUCGAAAAUAAUUCCUGGACAGCGUACGGCUAUCUUCCUGAGACAUCCAAGACCUGAUAAAGAGCAUCAAUCAUUCUCCCUUAUAUAUGGGCAGAGAUCACUGGAUCUGAUCUGCAAAGAUAAGGACGAAGCAGAAGCCUGGUUUGUUGCUUUAAAGGCAAUUAUUUCACGACGAAACUGUAAGAAGUUGACAACAACAGAAACAAAAAAUGAUAAACCAUCUUAUUGCCCAAUUAACCAGAUGCAUGGAGAUUUACCAUUGGCAUCUUCUUGUUAUAGUACUGAUGUUGGAAAAAAGGUAUCGAAAGGUGUCCAACAGUGCGCCACAAAUCAUGAUGCUCGUCCAUUUGCCAAUUUUGGGAAUAUUUUUUCUGACGUGAUAUUAUACGCCGGGCAGGAGAGGAGUAGAGUUAGUACAGGUUCAGUUAGUUCUUCUAACUCCAGUAUAUCUGGAAGUGCAGAUACCUCAGAUGGGGGAAUAGCUGUUGAUAAUAACCUCAGAGUUAGCUAUUCAAGUGCAGUAAGUUCAUGCAGCUAUGGAUCAGGUGAUGAUUUUGAUGCAAUGGGGGAUGUUCUCCUUUGGGGCAAGGGAGUAGGUGAUGGCACGCUUGCUUAUUCUUCACAUUUAUCUGGAAACUUGUAUGGACCUAGAAUUGAUGCAUCUUUACCAAAGGCACUGGAAUCAACAGUUUUGCUGGAUAUUCACAAUAUAGCUUGUGGGAGUAAGCAUUCGGUUCUGGUUACUAAACAAGGAGAAAUGUAUAUAGUUGGGGUGAAGAGUCAGGUGGUAGGCUCGGGCAUGGAGUUGAUACCAAUCUUACCCACCCUAAGCUUAUUAGUACCUUGAGUGGAAUUAAUAUUGAAUCCGUUGCAUGCGGGGAAUUUCAUACUUGUGCUGUUUCUUUUUGUGGGGAUCUCUACACCUGGGGUGAUGGAAUGCACAAUUUUGGUCUUCUUGGUCAUGGGAAUGAUACUGCUCAUUGGAUUCCAAAAAAGGUCUGUGGUCCAUUGGAAGGAUUGCAUAUCUCAUCGGUAUCAUGUGGACCUUCGCAUACAGCCGUAGUGACUUCAGCUGGCCAGUUGUUCACUUUUGGCGAUGGAGUAUUUGGUGCAUUGGGCCAUGGAGAUCGCCAAAGCACAAAUGUUGCAAGGGAAGUGAGCUCUCUAAGAGGCUUACGAACUGUACUUGCAGCUUGUGGUGCUUGGCAUACAGUUGCGAUAGUUGAGGUUGUAGAUUCUCUAAAUUCUGCCACAUCUUGUAAACUAUUCACAUGGGGAGAUGGCAAUAAAGGUCAGCUUGGACAUGCUGACAGGGAAACCAGACUCAUCCCAGCCUAUGUGGAAUCACUUCGUAAGCUUAGUUUUUGCCAAGUAGCUUGUGGCUAUGACUUUACGGCAGCCUUGUCAACUUCUGGGCAAGUGUACACAAUGGGCAGUAAUGCUUUUGGACAACUUGGAAAUCCGACGAUUGAUGGGAAGCUCCCCACUGUUGUUAAAGGGAGCAUCUCCAGCAGUUGUGUUGAAGAGAUAGCCUGUGGUUCUCAUCAUGUUGCUCUGCUGACUUCUAAAGCUAGAGUUUAUACUUGGGGCAAGGGUGCGAAUGGUCGUUUAGGGCAUGGCAAUAAUUUUGAUCGGAAUACUCCAACUCCUGUUGAGGCUUUGAAAGAUAAGCAAGUGAAGAGUGUGGCAUGUGGUACAGAUUUCACUGCUGUUAUAUGUUUCCAUAGGUGCACAUCUGGUUUGGAUCAGUCACUAUGCUCUGGCUGUCGUUUGCAAUUUAGUUUUAUAAGAAAGAGGCAUAACUGUUAUAACUGUGGCUUAGUAUAUUGCAAAGCAUGCAGCAUGAGAAAAUCAACAAAAGCUUCUUUGGCUCCAAAUUCGAACAAACCAUAUCGGGUAUGUGAUGAGUGCUGCACCAAACUUAAUACGGCCGGGGAUGCUAAAAAACUGCAGAACUCAAAGCCUCUUGAUGGAAACCCACAUCCUUUAUCCAGUGAAGCAACUGAUAGAGAAAACACAGUUAAGAGUUUGCGAGUGCGUAUAUCUAGGUUUUUGACCAUGGAAUCAUUCAAGCCUGAAGGUAAACACUCAAGGAAUAACAGCCGGUUUCCUCUUCAUCAUUCAGGAAACUUAAGCUUUGGUAGUAUAGGCCAUUCCAAGGAGUUGACUUCUUUGUGCAUUCCUACCUCGACGGCAUUACCCCUGUCCUGUGGUCCGAUUUCACCACAUCCUACUAAUAGAUUAACUACAUCUGUCCUAACAUCACCAGACUCUGCCUGUGCAUAUCCGUCAAACAAAAAUAUGACUGAAGAAGUUGCUAGAUUGCAAUCACAGGUGAAAGAGCUGACACGUAAGUCUGAAUUACUUGAAGCAGAACUUGACAGAACUAAUAAUCAGUUAAGAGAGGCCAGGACUACUGCUGCUGAGGAGAACUUGAAGUGCAAAGCAGCAAAAGAAGUUAUCAGUUCCCUUACUACUCAGAUCAGAAGUAUAACCGAAAGAACACCUGAAGAGUGUCCUGUCAACGACACCUGGACCAGUCAAGUAUCUAAGUUGUUAGGAAGUCAUUUCUGCGAGAACCAUUUGAACGAUGUUUCAAGGGCACCUGCUUCCAGCGCCCACCUGGCUCAUCAGUCGCCUUGCAAAGAGAACAGCAUUGUAGCAGACGUGGAAUGGACUGAACAGGUUGAACAUGGUGUAUACAUCACGAUAUUUCGCUCACCAGCGGGUCAUAAAUACCUCAGGCGUGUCCGUUUCAGCAAGAGGCAUUUCACGGAACAACAAGCAGAGCGAUGGUGGGCCGAGCACCGGCCAACUCUACACGAGCAGUAUGGUAUCCUGACUGGAGACAGUAUCAUCCCGUCGUGAACAUCCCAAGCAAAGGGAUAGGAUUUUAUCAUCAGCUAACUGGUGUGUAAAGCAUAACUUCUUCUGGCAAAUGUACAUCUUUACUUGUCUGGUCUCUGUUCAUCGAUUUUUUUUUACAUGCCUGGUGGAUUCUGUGAGCGACCAGUUUUUAGGGUGGUCCGCCCAACAGAUGCAUGUAUGCUGUAUAGAGCUAGAGCUUUCCUGCCCGACGAAGUCAGUUUUGUUAAUCGUGGCUUCUCUCUGUACGACAUAAAUAGUUUCAGGCAAUAUUUCCUUUUUCUCUUUGGUUUAGUGGCACUCAUGUACGUAGUUGGCUGAAAUAUCCAUGUGAGAUACUCAAAUGGAUCGGACUUGCUGGACUUGAAAGUAAAUUGCCUGGGUUUCAGGUUGAAAAA